AGGUAUAAGCAAUUAUACCGCGAAACUGCGAAUGGCUCAUUAAAUCAGUUAUCGUUUAUUUGAUAGUACCUUACUACUUGGAUAACCGUGGUAAUUCUAGAGCUAAUACAUGCUAAAAACCCCGACUUCGGAAGGGAUGUAUUUAUUAGAUUAAAAACCAAUGCCCUUCGGGGCUCUCUGGUGAUUCAUAAUAACUUCUCGAAUCGCACGGCCUUGCGCCGGCGACGGUUCAUUCAAAUUUCUGCCCUAUCAACUUUCGACGGCUGGGUCUUGGCCAACCAUGGUGACAACGGGUAACGGAGGGUUAGGGCUCGACCCCGGAGAAGGAGCCUGAGAAACGGCUACUACAUCCAAGGAAGGCAGCAGGCGCGCAAAUUACCCAAUCCCGACUCGGGGAGGUAGUGACAAUAAAUACUGAUACAGGGCUCUUUUGGGUCUUGUAAUUGGAAUGAGUACAAUUUAAACCCCUUAACGAGGAACAAUUGGAGGGCAAGUCUGGUGCCAGCAGCCGCGGUAAUUCCAGCUCCAAUAGCGUAUAUUAAAGUUGUUGCAGUUAAAAAGCUCGUAGUUGAACCUUGGGCCUGGCUGGCCGGUCCGCCUCACCGCGUGCACUGGUCCGGCCGGGCCUUUCCCUCUGGGAAACCCCUGGCCCUUCCCGGGGUGGGUGGGGAAACCAGGACUUAUACUUUGAACAAAUUAGAGCGCUUAAAGAACGUCUAUGCUCGAAUACUUUAGCGUGAAAUAAUAGAAUAAGACGUGUGGCUCUAUUGUGUUGGUCUCUGGGACCGCCGAAGAGAUUAAUAGGCACAGUCGGGGGUAUCAGUAUUCUAGUGUCAGAUGAGAAAUUCUUGUAUUUAUUGAACAAUCACUACUGCGAAAGCAUGCGACAAGUAUGUUUUCAUUAAUCAGGAACGAAAGUAAGGGGAUCGAAGACGAUCAGAUACGGUCGUAGUCUAACCGAUAAACUAUGCCGACUAGGGAUCGGACGAUGUCAUAUUUCUGACUCGUCGGCACUACCGAAAGUCAAAGUUUCUGGGUCUGGGGGG
rnacentral:rRNA from 1 species